ACAUAUCAAUAAGCGGAGGAAAAGAAACCAACAGGGAUUGCCUCAGUAACGGCGAGUGAAGCGGCAACAGCUCAAAUUUGAAAUCUGGCUCCUUCGGGGCCCGAGUUGUAAUUUGCAGAGGAUGCUUCGGGUACGGGUUCCUUCCGAGUUCCCUGGAACGGGACGCCAUAGAGGGUGAGAGCCCCGUCUGGUAGGACACCCAGCCCGUGUGAAGCUCCCUCGACGAGUCGAGUAGUUUGGGAAUGCUGCUCUAACGGGAGGUAUACUCCUUCCAAGGCUAAAUACCGGCUGGAGACCGAUAGCGCACAAGUAGAGUGAUCGAAAGAUGAAAAGCACUUUGAAAAGAGAGUCAAAUAGCACGUGAAAUUGUUGAAAGGGAAGCGCUCGCUACCAGACAUGGGUUCGGCGGUUCAACCGGGGCCACGCCCCGGGGCACUCCGCCGGCCCAGGCCAGCAUCAGCUUUCCGUCGGGGGCAAAGGCGUCGGGAAUGUGGCUCUCCUUCGGGGGAGUGUUAUAGCCCGGCGUGUCAUACCCUUCGGGGGGCUGAGGUACGCGCUUCUGCAAGGAUGCUGGCGUAAUGGUAGCUAGUGACCCGUCUUGAAACACGGACCAAGGAGUCAACCUUAUGUGCGAGUGCCCGGGCGUAAAACCCCAGCGCGGAAUGAAAGUGAACGUAGGUGAGAGCUUCGGCGCAUCACCGACCGAUCCUGAUGUCCUCGGACGGAUUUGAGUGAGAGCAUAUAGGGUUGGACCCGAAAGAAGAUGAACUAUGCGUGUGUAGGGUGAAGCCAGAGGAAACUCUGGUGGAGGCUCGCAGCGGUUCUGACGUGCAAAUCGAUCGUCAAACAUGCGCAUGGGGGCGAAAGACUAAUCGAAUCUUCUGGUAGCUGGUUUCCGCGAG
rnacentral:rRNA from 1 species